GGAGCAUAAUCUCGGAAACUGAGGAUAAUACUCCAUAGGUCACGAGAUCUGGAAAGACUUGUGGCUCAAAGUUCCGGCGCUUUAGGAUCGGUCUGCGGCCUAUCAGGUAGUAGUGGGUGUAACGGACCCACUAGCCGAUGACGGGUAUGGGCCUUGAGAGAGGGAGCCCAGAGAUGGAUUCUGAGACACGAAUCCAGGCCCUACGGGGCGCAGCAGUCGCGAAAACUUCACAAUGGAGGCAACUCCGAUGAGGGAAUUCCUAGUGCCAAUGCAUUUUGUGUUGGCUUUUCUUCAGCAUAGAUAACUGAUGGAAUAAGGGCUGGGUAAGACGGGUGCCAGCCGCCGCGGUAAUACCCGCAGCCCAAGUGGUGGUCGAUAUUAUUGAGUCUAAAACGUUCGUAGCCGGUUCAAUAAAUCUCUGGGUAAAUCGGAGGGCUUAACCUUCCGAAUUCCGGAGAGACUGUUGAACUUGGGACCGGGAGAGGCAAGAGGUACUUCUGGGGUAGGGGUAAAAUCCUGUAAUCCUAGAAGGACCACCGGUGGCGAAGGCGUCUUGCUAGAACGGAUCCGACGGUGAGGGACGAAGCCCUGGGUCGCAAACGGGAUUAGAUACCCCGGUAGUCCAGGGUGUAAACGCUGCAGACUUGGUGUUGGGAACCCUUCGGGGGUGCUCAGUGCCGGAGAGAAGUUGUUAAGUCUGCUACUUGGGGAGUACGUCCGCAAGGAUGAAACUUAAAGGAAUUGGCGGGGGAGCACA
rnacentral:rRNA from 1 species